rnacentral:rRNA from 1 species
CGGACGGGUGAGUAAUGUCUGGGAAACUGCCCGAUGGAGGGGGAUAACUACUGGAAACGGUAGCUAAUACCGCAUAACGUCGCAAGACCAAAGAGGGGGACCUUCGGGCCUCUUGCCAUCGGAUGUGCCCAGAUGGGAUUAGCUAGUAGGUGGGGUAACAGCUCACCUAGGCGACGAUCCCUAGCUGGUCUGAGAGGAUGACCAGCCACACUGGAACUGAGACACGGUCCAG